rnacentral:rRNA from 1 species
GCACAGAGAGCUUGCUCUCGGGUGACGAGCGGCGGACGGGUGAGUAAUGUCUGGGAAACUGCCUGAUGGAGGGGGAUAACUACUGGAAACGGUAGCUAAUACCGCAUAAUGUCGCAAGACCAAAGUGGGGGACCUUCGGGCCUCAUGCCAUCAGAUGUGCCCAGAUGGGAUUAGCUAGUAGGUGGGGUAACGGCUCACCUAGGCGACGAUCCCUAGCUGGUCUGAGAGGAUGACCAGCCACACUGGAACUGAGACACGGUCCAGACUCCUACGGGAGGCAGCAGUGGGGAAUAUUGCACAAUGGGCGCAAGCCUGAUGCAGCCAUGCCGCGUGUGUGAAGAAGGCCUUCGGGUUGUAAAGCACUUUCAGCGGGGAGGAAGGCGGUGAGGUUAAUAACCUCAUCGAUUGACGUUACCCGCAGAAGAAGCACCGGCUAACUCCGUGCCAGCAGCCGCGGUAAUACGGAGGGUGCAAGCGUUAAUCGGAAUUACUGGGCGUAAAGCGCACGCAGGCGGUCUGUCAAGUCGGAUGUGAAAUCCCCGGGCUCAACCUGGGAACUGCAUUCGAAACUGGCAGGCUAGAGUCUUGUAGAGGGGGGGUAGAAUUCCAGGUGUAGCGGGAAAAUGGCGUAGAGAUCUGGAGGAAUACCGGUGGCGAAGGCGGCCCCCUGGACAAAGACUGACGCUCAGGUGCGAAAGCGUGGGGAGCAAACAGGAUUAGAUACCCUGGUAGUCCACGCUGUAAACGAUGUCGAUUUGGGAGGUUGUGCCCUUGAGGCGUGGCUUCCGGAGCUAACGCGUUAAAUCGACCGCCUGGGGGAGUACGGCCGCAAGGUUAAAACUCAAAUGAAUUGACGGGGGCCCGCACAAGCGGUGGAGCAUGUGGUUUAAUUCGAUGCAACGCGAAGAACCUUACCUGGGUCUUGACAUCCACAGAACUUUCCAGAAGAUGGAUUGGUGCCUUCGGGAACUGUGAGACAGGUGCUGCAUGGCUGUCGUCAGCUCGUGUUGUGAAU